rnacentral:rRNA from 1 species
UACGUAGGUGGCGAGCGUUGUCCGGAUUUAUUGGGUUUAAAGGGUGCGUAGGCGGCCCGUUAAGUCAGUGGUGAAAGCCUCCAGCUCAACUGGAGAACUGCCAUUGAUACUGGCGGGCUUGAGUACAGACGAGGUAGGCGGAAUUGAUUGUGUAGCGGUGAAAUGCAUAGAUACAAUCAAGAACACCGAUUGCGUAGGCAGCUUACUAGGCUGUAACUGACGCUGAGGCACGAAAGCGUGGGGAGCGAACAGG